rnacentral:rRNA from 1 species
AUACGGAAGGUCCGGGCGUUAUCCGGAUUUAUUGGGUUUAAAGGGAGCGCAGGCGGAGAUGCAAGCGUGACGUCAAAUUUCGGGGCUCAACCCCGUCUCGCGUCGCGAACUGCGUCCCUUGGUUGCGGGAAGGGGAGGCGGAACUCGUGGUGUAGCGGUGAAAUGCAUAGAUAUCACGAAGAACUCCGAUCGCGAAGGCAUCCGUCCGGCCCGUGAACAACGCAUAUGCUCGAAGGUGCGGGUAACAAACGAGAUGAGAUAGCCUGGUAGUCCGCAAAGGAAGCGAUGGACCCCCGCUGUUUGGCCUGUAUGGGUGGGCCGCCAAGCGAAAGAGUUAAGUGUCCAACCUGGGGAGUACGCCGGCAACGGUGAAACUCAAAUGAAUUGACGGGG